rnacentral:rRNA from 1 species
UACGUAGGGUGCGAGCGUUGUCCGGAAUUAUUGGGAGUAAAGGGUUCGUAGGCGGUUUGUGGAGUAGGGAGUGAAAUCCACUGGCUUAACUGGUGGCUUGCUUUCGAUACGGGCAGACUGGAGGUAUGCAGGGGAGAACGGAAUUCCUGGUGUAGCGGUGAAAUGCGCAGAUAUCAGGAGGAACACCGGUGGCGAAGGCGGUUCUCUGGGCAUGUCCUGACGCUGAGGAGCGAAAGUGUGGGGAGCGAACAGG